rnacentral:rRNA from 1 species
AGAGUUUGAUCCUGGCUCAGAGCGAACGUUAGCGGCGCGCUUAAUACAUGCAAGUCGCACGAGAAAGCACCCUUCGGGGUGUGAGUAGAGUGGCGGACGGGUGCGUAACACGUAGGCAAUCUACCCUCAGGAGGGGGAUAACCACCCGAAAGGGUGGCUAAUACCGCAUAAGACCACAGUCACUUCGGUGACAGAGGUAAAAGCUGGCCUCUACUUGUAAGCUAGCACCUGGGGAUGAGCCUGCGGCCCAUCAGCUUGAUGGUAGGGUAACGGCCUACCAUGGCUAAGACGGGUAGCUGGUCUGAGAGGAUGAUCAGCCACACUGGUACUGGAACACGGACCAGACUCCUACGGGAGGCAGCAGUAGGGAAUAUUGGACAAUGGGCGCAAGCCUGAUCCAGCGACGCCGCGUGAGUGAUGAAGGCCUUCGGGUUGUAAGGCUCUGUUGAGGGAGAAGAAAACAGGCCGUUCGAAUAGGGCGUUUCUUGACGGUAUCCCUUUAGAAAGCACCGGCUAACU